GUCUCAUGCUCUACCAACUGAGCCAGCCAGGCACUCCUAUUCAAACAUCUGGUGUUUCCUAUAUGCAAGACAGCAUGAAAAAUAUGAAGAUAAAAAAAGGCAUUCCUGGCCUUCAAAAAUAUUGCCACACAUAAUGAACAGUAAUGUUUUGAACAACCUGGGUUACAAGAACAGCAAAGCAUCAAGCUCCUGACCACACCAAGCUUUGACUAUGCAGUUAAAAAGUGAAGACCCCUCACCAACGUAGGGAGCUGGAGAACAAAGGGGAAGGAAAUGUUAUUUUCAUAACUAUCUGUUCAUUCUAUCAGCCUUGCCAAAGACUUCACCUACUCAUUUAGCGUUGGAGACUGCAACUUUCUACUUAAUACAAUUUCGGGUAUCAUAUGAAAUACUUAUUAAAACAACGUUGUAACUAGAAGCGGGGACAAAACAGCUUUCGGGAGAAAUCAGAGCGACUAGUUGAUUGGUCAGUGCAGGGUAGGAAAGGAGCGUUGGUCUACACACAGCGAACAAAGACUAUUAUUUCUCAUCUAUUUCACUACUGAGGCAAAAAGACAUAAAAUAAAAAGAUCAAGUCUUCCAGGGACAAGCAUCCUGCCAUUUCUCUCAAUUUUUGUCCAUUGUGUUGGGGAAAGUCCUGCAAACCACCCUCUACCUCCUCCUAUCCCAUAUCACUGCCUCUAGAGUUAUUUUUCCCCUUCUGGUGAACAACACGUUGUAAAAUAAAGGGGUCCACAACCUU